rnacentral:rRNA from 1 species
CCUACGGGAGGCAGCAGUGGGGGAUAUUGCACAAUGGGGGAAACCCUGAUGCAGCGACGCCGCGUGGGUGAAGAAGCGCCUCGGCGCGUAAAGCCCUGUCAGCAGGGAAGAAAAUGACGGUACCUGAAGAAGAAGCCCCGGCUAACUACGUGCCAGCAGCCGCGGUAAUACGUAGGGGGCAAGCGUUAUCCGGAUUUACUGGGUGUAACGGGGGCGCAGACGGGGUUGCAAGCCAGGAGGGAAAGCCCGGGGCCCAACCCCGGGACUGCACUUGAAACUGGGUGGCUAGAGUGCAGGAGGGGCAGGCGGAAUUCCUGGUGUAGCGGUGAAAUGCGGAGAUAUCAGGAGGAACACCGGUGGCGAAGGCGGCCUGCUGGACUGCAACUGACGUUGAGGCCCGAAAGCGUGGGGAGCAAACAGGAUUAGAUACCCUUGUAGUC